AAUUUAACAAUUAUUUCGGAGUGCUUAAAAAAAUGACAGUCACAGUUCUAAAUAUUGGGGCACAGUACCAAAAACAAAGAAUCACUCAGCAAUGACCUGACUUCCUAUUACUUUUUCCAUGUUCAACCCCAACCCAUUUCUGGCAGUCGGUGGGUUACAGGCUGGCCCACAUGGCACAUGAGAAUAUGAAGCACUGUAGUAAGAUGCUUAGAAGAUUAUUAUCCUCCCACCUACAGAAACGCCCUCCGAAGCUGUGUUAAAGAACUUCCAUAGCAGGUAGUGUCUUAAGAACAAAAUAGACCUGAGAGGGCAGGAUUGCUGUUCAGAAUUCCAGGGGCACCUGAAAACUGACAUGUGCCUCAUGAAGUCAGAGAUGAAACACAUGGUGACUUGGGGAGGACUCUGGCCAACACGCACGCACUUCAGGCCCCGUCCACCAGGGGGCGCAGCUUCCUACCACAAUCACAUUUCCUGUGUGAAAUGUGGGCUUGCACUGAUCAUUUCUCUGUCACUCCAAAGCUGCUUCAUGGUAAGAAAGAAGAACAUUAUUUAGGUGACACUGCAGAGAUGAAGUGUUCUCCAGGUUUCGUGACUGCGGUACUCUUAAUGCUUGGACAAACCCAAGGAGACUCAGUGACCCAGUCAGAAGGCCAACUGACCCUCUUAGAAAAGGAGUCCCUGACUAUAAACUGUACUUUUUCAACGACAUGGUCCCCCACUCUUUUCUGGUAUGUCCAGCAUCCCGGAGAAGGUCUACAGCUCCUUCUGAAAGCCAUGAAGGAGAAGGAGAAGGGAAUCAACAAAGGAUUUGAAGCCACCUAUGACAAAGAUUCCAAAUCCUUCCACCUGGAGAAAGGCUCAGUGCAAGCAUCAGAUUCAGCUGUGUACUACUGUGCCAUGAGUGACACAGUGACAGGGACUACAGGGGGAGCUGAGCGCAAACUCUGAGCAGAACAGGGGCCUGGAUGCUGAGAGUCUCUGACUGACCCACUCUGGUUCCAGCUCAGUCUGUGGUUGUCUGUCCCCCAGUGUCUGCUUGAUACAAAAUCACAGAGACACCGAGAGUAUAGGAACCAGAAGUAUCAUCCCCACUCCAGCUGUUCCUUAGUGACACUGAGGACAAUUUGAUGCCAAGAGUCCCUCAGCCAGGGAGUAGGUAAUUUCCAGGUAAAAUCACGUGGUCUCUUGCUCAUCCUUGCAGUGAACGUCCAGCCCCACAAGUUUUUCAGGGUAUCCUGGUGAGUGUUGCUGUGUCUGUGACACUUUUAGAGACACACGGUGUGUCUGAGAAGGUGGUGAUGUCCAUUGUCUUC